UACGUAGGGUCCGAGCGUUGUCCGGAAUUACUGGGCGUAAAGAGCUCGUAGGUGGUUUGUCGCGUUGUUCGUGAAAACUCACAGCUCAACUGUGGGCGUGCGGGCGAUACGGGCAGACUUGAGUACUGCAGGGGAGACUGGAAUUCCUGGUGUAGCGGUGGAAUGCGCAGAUAUCAGGAGGAACACCGGUGGCGAAGGCGCCACUCUGGGCCGAAACUGACGCUGAGGAGCGAAAGCGUGGGUAGCAAACAGG
rnacentral:rRNA from 1 species